AUUGAACGCUGGCGGCAGGCUUAACACAUGCAAGUCGAGCGGGGGAGGUUGCUUCGGUAACUGACCUAGCGGCGGACGGGUGAGUAAUGCUUAGGAAUCUGCCUAUUAGUGGGGGACAACAUUCCGAAAGGAAUGCUAAUACCGCAUACGCCCUACGGGGGAAAGCAGGGGAUCUUCGGACCUUGCGCUAAGAGAUGAGCCUACGUCGGUGGAGCUAGUUGGUGGGGUAAAGGCCUGCCAAGGCGACGAUCUGUAGCGGGUCUGAGAGGAUGAUCCGCCACACUGGGACUGAGACACGGCCCAGACUCCUACGGGAGGCAGCAGUGGGGAAUAUUGGACAAUGGGCGGAAGCCUGAUCCAGCCAUGCCGCGUGUGUGAAGAAGGCCUUUUGGUUGUAAAGCACUUUAAGCGAGGAGGAGGCUCUUAAGGUUAAUACCCUUGAUGAGUGGACGUUACUCGCAGAAUAAGCACCGGCUAACUCUGUGCCAGCCGCCGCGGUAAAAC
rnacentral:rRNA from 1 species